UGGAAGCUAUAUUACAUUAUGAUUUUCCGCUUCUUUCCACGGUCUUGUUUGUUAUUUCAGGGCAUUAACAAGCAAAUCCCAAUAAGCACGUUUUGCAAAAUUAACCAGUGGAGGAACCAUGGAAAUCUUUGUGCAGUCAGUGAUUGUUCCUCUCAAGUUAGGCAUUGAAUUUGGUUUCUCUAUGGCAAGUUCAAUUCCUUUGUUGUGAUUGUUCUGGGGUGAUUUUGAUGCAGCAUGGUGCUCUCUGCUUUCUCCUAUCUCCCAAUGUUUGUAAACAUUCUAUCUAUAUGCUUAUACAGAAACAAAUAAUUAAAUCAACUGGAGACUCUUGAAACUCGGAAUUGUCCUACUCUUUUCUUUUGAAUUUCGCUGACAAUAUGAAAACCUUGCCAUUAACUUUACCAGCAAACUCAACGCAAAAAAUCCUAAAUUGAAAUUAAUAAUUAGACAUUACGAGUGAAUUUAGAAGCUUGUUUCACCUUUGCUUUGGCUUCUAAUUCAUCCAGAGUAACACAUUCUGGUUUGAUAUUUCUGGCAGCAAGUUCCAGCUUCUCCACCUUUUCGACCCUCGAUUCUUCAUCAGUGCUGUAAGUUCUUGCAAUUUCAGGCUUUUUUGGAGGCUCCAUAUGCUUCGGGG
rnacentral:lncRNA from 1 species